rnacentral:rRNA from 1 species
AACAGGAUUAGAUACCCUGGUAGUCCACGCCGUAAACGAUGUCGACUUGGAGGUUGUGCCCUUGAGGCGUGGCUUCCGGAGCUAACGCGUUAAGUCGACCGCCUGGGGAGUACGGCCGCAAGGUUAAAACUCAAAUGAAUUGACGGGGGCCCGCACAAGCGGUGGAGCAUGUGGUUUAAUUCGAUGCAACGCGAAGAACCUUACCUACUCUUGACAUCCAGAGAACUUUCCAGAGAUGGAUUGGUGCCUUCGGGAACUCUGAGACAGGUGCUGCAUGGCUGUCGUCAGCUCGUGUUGUGAAAUGUUGGGUUAAGUCCCGCAACGAGCGCAACCCUUAUCCUUUGUUGCCAGCGAUUCGGUCGGGAACUCAAAGGAGACUGCCAGUGAUAAACUGGAGGAAGGUGGGGAUGACGUCAAGUCAUCAUGGCCCUUACGAGUAGGGCUACACACGUGCUACAAUGGCAUAUACAAAGAGAAGCGACCUCGCGAGAGCAAGCGGACCUCAUAAAGUAUGUCGUAGUCCGGAUUGGAGUCUGCAACUCGACUCCAUGAAGUCGGAAUCGCUAGUGAUCGUGGAUCAGAAUGCCACGGUGAAUACGUUCCCGGGCCUUGUACACACCGCCCGUCACACCAUGGGAGUGGGUUGCAAAAGAAGUAGGUAGCUUAACCUUCGGGAGGGCGCUUACCACUUUGUGAUUCAUGACUGGGGUGAAGUCGUAACAAGGUAACC